AUUUAGAAGCCCCUCAUAGGUCCUCCAGGACCUCAUUGGUCCUUUGCAGGACCUUAUAGGUAGGAAAUAAGUAGGAAAAGGGAUGAGGCCCUGCACAGUGCAUAUAGGAAGAGAGAUUCACUAGAACCACAGUAGAAGGUCAGCAAAUGGAAGGAUUGAUGGGAAGGUAGAGGUUAUGACCAGUAGGUCUCAAAGGAAGAUAGACACAAAAUGCAGG